rnacentral:rRNA from 1 species
UGGGGAAUAUUGCACAAUGGGCGCAAGCCUGAUGCAGCCAUGCCGCGUGUGUGAAGAAGGCCUUCGGGUUGUAAAGCACUUUCAGCGGGGAGGAAGGCGUUAAGGUUAAUAACCUUGGCGAUUGACGUUACCCGCAGAAGAAGCACCGGCUAACUCCGUGCCAGCAGCCGCGGUAAUACGGAGGGUGCAAGCGUUAGUCGGAAUUACUGGGCGUAAAGCGCACGCAGGCGGUCUGUCAAGUCGGAUGUGAAAUCCCCGGGCUCAACCUGGGAACUGCAUUCGAAACUGGCAGGCUAGAGUCUUGUAGAGGGGGGUAGAAUUCCAGGUGUAGCGGUGAAAUGCGUAGAGAUCUGGAGGAAUACCGGUGGCGAAGGCGGCCCCCUGGACAAAGACUGACGCUCAGGUGCGAAAGCGUGGGGAGCAAACAGG